UCUCCGUUGGUGAACCAGCGGAGGGAUCAUUACAGAGUUGCAAAACUCCCAAACCAUUGUGAACGUUACCUAUCCCGUUGCUUCGGCGGGCGGCCCGGGCCCCGCGCCCGGCGCCCCCCGGCCCCCCGUGGGCGCCCGCCGGAGGUAAACCAAACCCUUGAAUUACAUGGCCUCUCUGAGUCUUCUGUACUGAAUAAGUCAAAACUUUCAACAACGGAUCUCUUGGUUCUG
rnacentral:misc_RNA from 1 species